rnacentral:rRNA from 1 species
AUCAACUUUCGAUGGUAGGAUAGAGGCCUACCAUGGUGGUAACGGGUAACGGGGUGUUAGGGCACGACACCGGAGAGGGAGCCUGAGAAACGGCUACCACAUCCAAGGAUGGCAGCAGGCGCGCAAAUUACCCAAUCCCGACACGGGGAGGUAGUGACAAUAAAUAACAAUACGGGGUCCUUUCGGGUUUCGUAAUUGGAAUGAGUMCAAUUUAAAUCUYUUAACGAGGAACAAUUGGAGGGCAAGUCUGGUGCCAGCAGCCGCGGUAAUUCCAGCUCCAAUAGCGUAUAUUAAAGUUGUUGCAGUUAAAAAGCUCGUAGUUGAAUUUCGGGAUUAGUACGUUGGUCGUGCCUYCGGUACGUACUGGUGUUACUGAUUCCUACCUUCUGACGAACCAUCAUGUCAUUAAUUUGGUGUGAUGGGGAAUCAGGACUGYUACUUYGAAAAAAUUAGAGUGUUUAAAGCAGGCUCGCGCUUGAAUACAUUAGCAUGGAAUAAUGAAAUAGGACGUUGACCCUAUUUUGUUGGUUUCUAGGAUUGACGUAAUGAUUAAUAGGGAUAGUUGGGGGCAUUAGUAUUCAAUUGUCAGAGGUGAAAUUCUUGGAUUUAUUGAAGACUAACUACUGCGAAAGCAUUUGCCAAGGAUGUUUUCAUUAAUCAAGAACGAAAGUUAGGGGAUCGAAGACGAUCAGAUACCGUCGUAGUCUUAACCAUAAACUAUGCCGACUAGGGAUCGGAUGAUGUUAUUUUUAAUGACUCAUUCGGCGCCUUACGGGAAACCAAAGUGUUUGGGUUC